AACAGGAUUAGAUACCCUGGUAGUCCACGCUGUAAACGAUGUCGACUUGGAGGUUGUGCCCUUGAGGCGUGGCUUCCGGAGCUAACGCGUUAAGUCGACCGCCUGGGGAGUACGGCCGCAAGGUUAAAACUCAAAUGAAUUGACGGGGGCCCGCACAAGCGGUGGAGCAUGUGGUUUAAUUCGAUGCAACGCGAAGAACCUUACCUACUCUUGACAUCCAGAGAAUUUGCUAGAGAUAGCUUAGUGCCUUCGGGAACUCUGAGACAGGUGCUGCAUGGCUGUCGUCAGCUCGUGUUGUGAAAUGUUGGGUUAAGUCCCGCAACGAGCGCAACCCUUAUCCUUUGUUGCCAGCGAGUCAUGUCGGGAACUCAAAGGAGACUGCCGGUGAUAAACCGGAGGAAGGUGGGGAUGACGUCAAGUCAUCAUGGCCCUUACGAGUAGGGCUACACACGUGCUACAAUGGCAUAUACAAAGAGAAGCGAACUCGCGAGAGCAAGCGGACCUCAUAAAGUAUGUCGUAGUCCGGAUUGGAGUCUGCAACUCGACUCCAUGAGGUCGGAAUCGCUAGUAAUCGUAGAUCAGAAUGCUACGGUGAAUACGUCCCCGGGCCUUGUACACACCGCCCGUCACACCAUGGGAGUGGGUUGCAAAAGAAGUAGGUAGCUUAACCUUCGGGAGGGCGCAUACCGCUUUGUGAUUCAUGACUGGGGUGAAGUCGUAACAAGGUAACC
rnacentral:rRNA from 1 species